rnacentral:tmRNA from 1 species
GGGGAUGUCGGGUUUCGACAGGCGAACAGGUCGAAGAAUUGCAGGCCGAGGUGUCGGUAUAGCACUCUCGUUAAACAACCGACAAAACAAUAGUUGCCAAAAACAGCAACACAACGUACGCUCUCGCUGCUUAAUAACCAGUAACGUACCGUCCGUCCGGCUUUUGCCUUGUGGGGCCGGGUACGGGCGUCAAAAAACACAGGGAUGCUAUGGUGAGGACCGUCUUCUAGUCACCAUCUAAGACCAGAGGGCCAGCGUCCAGGAAUCCUGUCGAUGGGAGACCGGGGCGUAAAGAAAAAAUGUCGACUAAGCCUGUAGUACAUUUUCCGGUUCGUUCGUUUGGACAGGGAGUUCAACUCUCCCUCAUCUCCACCA